AUGAGGGAGGGGCUGGAAGCUGCUUCCUGCUCGGGAUGUGUUGAGAUUGUGCACGUGUGUCCCUCACUCGGGCUCCUGGAUUACCUUUACCUCUGGUGAACGUGUCUGGUCGCUACUCCCUUCGGGCGUAAGGAUGAAGGCGAGGAGAAAUAAAAAACAAGUCCCAAGCUUUCGCAAGUUGCUGAAAACUAGUAAAGUCAAACUUGAAAACAAGCUGAAAAAUAAGCAGUUUAAACAACAAAGUACUCUCAAGAAGUAUCGAAAAGAACAGAGGAAAUUAAGGCAAGCUGUAAAAGAUGCAGUGUCUAAGAAACCCAUUCCAUUGGAGAACCCAAAGGAAAAACAAGCAGUUAAAAGGAUUGAGAGGAAAGAAGAGGAGGAAGAAGAAGCCCUUCCUUUAGAUAUGAUGGAUGAAGAUGAUUUACAGUUAAUGAGGGAUUUAGGACAAAGAGCAUCCUUUGUAACAAGAGAUCUUUCUUCCAGUGAGCCAGUUCAUGCCAAAAAAAGAAAGAAUGAGAGUGUUAUAGAUAAGUAUGAAAAAAUACCAAGAACUCUGCAAACUGCACCAGAGAAGGAACUGAUACACCUGCUUCCUAUUAAAGAUAAAAGUGGUAUAAUCCCACAGACCAGAGAGAAACCAGUUGUGGACAUUAGCAAAGAUGAAGAAGAUCAAGAAGAAGAGAUGGAACUUGAGGAAGAGCUCAUCGAGGAGCCUAUUCGAGAACUGACCAUGGAAGAACAUCUGAUUGAGAGAAAGAAGAAACUACUGGAGAAGAAGAUGCAUAUUGCAACCUUGGCAUCUGCCAUAUUAUCAGAUCCAGAAAGUAAUAUUAAAAAACUAAAAGAAUUACGUUCCAUGCUGAUGGAACAGGAUCCUGAUGUGGCUGUUACUGUUCGGAAGCUUGUGAUAGUUUCUCUGAUGGAGCUAUUUAAGGACAUUACUCCUUCAUAUAAAAUCCGGCCCCUAACAGAAGCAGAAAAAUCUACCAAGCUCCGCAAAGAAACCCAGAAGUUACGAGAAUUUGAAGAAGGCCUGGUUAGCCAGUACAAAUUUUAUUUGGAAAAUCUGGAGCAAAUGGUUAAAGACUGGAAGCAGAGAAAGCUGAAGAAAAGUAAUGUAGUUUCCUUAAAGGCAUAUAAGGGACUGGCUGAAGUGGCUGUGAAGAGCCUGUGUGAGCUAUUGGUGGCACUACCUCAUUUUAACUUUCACAACAACAUCAUUGUCUUGAUUGUCCCUCUCAUGAAUGACAUGUCAAAAUCGAUAUCUGAAAUGUGUUGUGAGGCAGUAAAGAAACUCUUUAAACAAGAUAAAUUAGGACAAGCUUCUCUUGGUGUAAUAAAAGUGAUUUCUGGCUUUGUGAAGGGCAGAAAUUAUGAAGUUAGACCAGAGAUGUUAAAAACAUUUUUGUGCCUAAGAAUCAAAGAAGUUGAAGUGAAAAAAGAUACAGAGGAUAUUAAUAAACCAAAAAAGUUCAUGACAUUCAAGGAAAAGAGAAAAACGCUAUCAAGAAUGCAAAGAAAGUGGAAGAAAGCAGAGGAGAAACUAGAGCGAGAGCUGCGGGAGGCGGAAGCUUCAGAGAGUACUGAGAAAAAACUUAAACUGCACACAGAGACUUUGAAUAUUGUGUUUGUAACCUACUUCAGAAUACUGAAGAAAGCCCAGAGAUCACCUCUCCUGCCAGCAGUUCUAGAAGGUCUUGCCAAGUUUGCUCAUCUUAUAAAUGUGGAGUUUUUUGAUGAUUUAUUAGUAGUUCUUCAUACUCUGAUUGAGUCUGGUGUAAGACCUAAGCUAUGAAGAAAGCCUUCACUGUGUCCAGACUGCUUUUCAUAUUCUUUCCGGACAAGGUGAUGUUCUUAAUAUUGAUCCAAUGAAGUUCUAUACACACCUGUACAAAACACUGUUCAAGCUACAUGCAG